rnacentral:lncRNA from 1 species
GGGCCGGGACAAAGCCUGGGCCGGGCCUGCGCUUCCGUUCGCUUGACUGGCUGCGCUUGUUUUCAGGGUUUUGGUCUGAAAACGGAUCUUACCUGCGCAGAGCAAAAUCGGUUGUAGAUUAUAUCCACGAAAAUUCCUUCUAUUAAAAUGAAUUUCAAGUCCCACCUACCCUGGAAGCAGAAAGAGAGAGAAGAGAGAGAGUAAAGAGAAAGAGAAAAGAAAGAGAAGUUGAAAAAGAGAAAGAAAACCAAGAAAGAAAGAGAAAAAAACCGAAAAUAAAUGGACAAGAAAGAAAAGUCACUGGGAUCCUGGACUACGGCACUGCUCCAGGCAGGCCUGGUUAUCCUGCUUGAGGCAGCAAUCCUCUUGAGCCUAGUGAAAUGCAACUGGCUGUACCUCAAUGAUGUUGCCCUGAGAUUCUGCCAGUCGAGGCCAACGUGCCAUGCAUCCCUGGAGCAUGAAACCCAGGAUGGGCCGCCUUCCAGCCUCCCACAGCUGUGAUGCAAGUUGAACACAUACAGAGAGACUGCAUCUGCACUGGGUGGUUUUCCUGAGCCUUGGGGAGCAGAAUGCAUGAAUCCCAGGUAUCUGCCGAUCUGUAUGUAACAAAUUCACUUCAUGUAACUUACUGUGUGUCCGUGAGAUUAUCUCUCACUCAACUCAGACACAUUGGCAACCAGUGUGCAGUGAACCUGCUUCACAAGCAAGGAUGUGGAGAAACUAUUUUCGUACAUUUUGUGGGAAUCUGAAAUACUGCGGUCAGUAUGGAAAGCAGUAUCAUGGGAAACUUCCUCAACUCAAGAUCACCUACCAAUCCUUACAGAAUCAGAAUCAUCAUACAAACUGGUGAAAGCAUAGUUUCCCCUAGAGGUUGGGAUGAGGGCAAGAAUGUCCCCUCUUAUCACUACUAUUCCACACAAUAUGAAAGGUUCCAGCCAGUGAAAUAAAGGAAAAAGAAAUAAAAGUGACAGGCUGGGUGUGGUGUCUGAGGCCUGUAAUCACAGUGCUUUGGGAGGCUGAGGAAGGAGGGUGGCCUGAGGACAGGACAAAAAAAAUAGUGUACCAACAGAAAAUAUGUUGGUUGUGCAGGCUAAUACCUUUCCCAAAGGAAGGUAGCUACAUCCCUAUGACCUGUGUUACUGGAUAUAUCAAAAGGGAGUUUGCAAAUGUGGUCUAGAUAAGGAUCUUUAGAUAGACAUCCUGAAUUAUAUGGUCAAAGUGAUAGAAUCACAAGGUUCAAUAUCAGAAGGGUGCAGGUGGAUGCGAAGGGACAGAGACAGUGGUGAUGUGUUGAAAAUAGAGGGAUAAAGAGAUUUUUUUUCUCACCUUUAAAGAUGGAGGAAGUGGACCAUGAGUCAAAGGAUGUAAGUGGCCUCUGGAACCUACAAAGGGUAAGGAAACAAAUUCUCCCCUGGAGAUUAAUGAAGAAUCACAGAACUAUGGACCCAUAUUAGAUAUGUGACUUACAGAAUUAUAAAAGAAUAAAUUUUUCUUGUUUUAAGCCAAUCACUGUGUAUAGCAAUAGGAAACUGAUGAAAUGAUUUUAUGUAGAAAAUUCCAAAAAAAUCUACAAAAAUCUCUAGAACAAGAAAAAUGUAAAGGUAGCAAAGUAUAAGGUCAACCUACAAAAAUAUCGUAUAUUUCAUCAGCCAGGCAUGGUGGCUCGUGCCUGUAAUCCCAGCACUUUGGGAGGCCAAGGCAGGCAGAUCACUCAAGCUCAGGAGUUUGAGACCAGGCUGGGUAACAUGGUGAAACCCCAUCUCUACAAAACACAAAAAUUUAACAGGCCAUGGUGGCACAUGCCUGCAGUGCCAGCUACUGGGGAAGCUGAGGUGGGAGGAUGACUUAAGCCUGC